rnacentral:rRNA from 13 species
GUAAUGUCUGGGAAACUGCCUGAUGGAGGGGGAUAACUACUGGAAACGGUGGCUAAUACCGCAUAACGUCGCAAGACCAAAGAGGGGGACCUUCGGGCCUCUUGCCAUCAGAUGUGCCCAGAUGGGAUUAGCUUGUUGGUGAGGUAACGGCUCACCAAGGCGACGAUCCCUAGCUGGUCUGAGAGGAUGACCAGCCACACUGGAACUGAGACACGGUCCAGACUCCUACGGGAGGCAGCAGUGGGGAAUAUUGCACAAUGGGCGCAAGCCUGAUGCAGCCAUGCCGCGUGUAUGAAGAAGGCCUUCGGGUUGUAAAGUACUU